GAUGAACGCUGGCGGCGUGCCUAAUACAUGCAAGUCGAGCGAACAGACGAGGAGCUUGCUCCUCUGACGUUAGCGGCGGACGGGUGAGUAACACGUGGAUAACCUACCUAUAAGACUGGGAUAACUUCGGGAAACCGGAGCUAAUACCGGAUAAUAUAUUGAACCGCAUGGUUCAAUAGUGAAAGACGGUUUUGCUGUCACUUAUAGAUGGAUCCGCGCCGCAUUAGCUAGUUGGUAAGGUAACGGCUUACCAAGGCGACGAUGCGUAGCCGACCUGAGAGGGUGAUCGGCCACACUGGAACUCAGACACGGUCCAGACUCCUACGGGAGGCAGCAGUAGGGAAUCUUCCGCAAUGGGCGAAAGCCUGACGGAGCAACGCCGCGUGAGUGAUGAAGGUCUUCGGAUCGUAAAACUCUGUUAUUAGGGAAGAACAAAUGUGUAAGUAACUAUGCACGUCUUGACGGUACCUAAUCAGAAAGCCUCGGCUAACUACGUG
rnacentral:rRNA from 1 species